GAUCCUGGCUCAGGACGAACGCUGGCGGCGUGCUUAACACAUGCAAGUCGAACGAAGAGCGAUGGAAGCUUGCUUCUAUCAAUCUUAGUGGCGAACGGGUGAGUAACGCGUAAUCAACCUGCCCUUCAGAGGGGGACAACAGUUGGAAACGACUGCUAAUACCGCAUACGACUUCAAUCUCGGCAUCGAGACUGGAUGAAAGGUGGCCUCUAUUUAUAAGCUAUCACUGAAGGAGGGG
rnacentral:rRNA from 1 species